CAUUUGGAAUAAAGGCCGUUGCUCUUGUUGUGGUGAUUGUGCUCGUCUCCAGCUCUUUGGCUAAACCUACUCAUGUCAUUGAGAAGCGCUCAAAUGAGGAGACCAACAACAACAACAACAACAACAACGCCCCAUCCUUGGCCCGUGUUACUGAUGUGCUCAUGAUCCUGAAGUACCUCAAGGACUUGACUC